rnacentral:ncRNA from 1 species
AGGAGCAAAAGCCAAACCCAUCGCGAGUUGGGGACGGAAAGUGUCGGGUCUCUCUGAUUGCUUCGUGUUUUUGACAUGGCAUUUUCGAGAGAUGGCCGAGCUGCCUCU